GCCAAUACCUUCAACUGUCAAGUUUCAGCUUGUAAAUCAAUACCAACGUUCAAGUUUGGCAGAGCUUUAAUCUAAUUCGAGCCCUGGAAGGCUUUUUGAAUUGGCAGAAUUGGAACCUCUUCAGUCUGAAAGGGGUGGAAGUGGCUGGAUUUGAUGAUUACUGAGCUGGAAUUGCACUAUGGUACCUGUUCUGCUUGAUCAGGGCUUUCCAUAAAUUUGUUGAGGUUUUUAUAUUUGUAAAAACCCGGACUCUGCUUGAUUUGGCUUAUGCUGAACCAAAUUUGUAAUGAGAGAAAUCUUGUUUUGUAUGACUAUUUCUCUGAAACUGAACUGAAGUUAGAGAUUCUGAAUUAUAGCUGACUUGGUUGCUUCAAUAUAAAAAAUGCUGGAGUGAGGUCUUCUAAUCUUUUAAUAAUAGGC
rnacentral:lncRNA from 1 species